AAAAUUCCAGCAUUUAGGACUUAGCCAAAUUUUUAGCUUUUUCACCGUUUUCGCUCCGUUUUCGCUCGUUUGACAUCCGAUUCGUUUCAAUUCGAAUCGAGACUCUCCAAACAUAUUUUCGAGCGUAUUUUCAUCAUCUUUUCAUCCACACUAAUGCCAGAUUUAGCUCAUGAUCCAACAUAACCUUUCGGGUUCCGUUUUCGCACCUACGCGCACCGAAACACCCGAUUACUCCAGAACUUCACAGAACUUCACCGGGACCAUUCCAACGGCUUUCUAAGCUAACAUUCAUCGUAACUUCAUGAAUUA
rnacentral:lncRNA from 1 species